ACUUGUAAACUAAUGUGGCUGUUUUGUAGGAUGCAUAGCAUUUGAGCUUUGAGCCUUGUGCCUUGCACAUUGUUGUUGAUUGUACAUUAUUGAUUCUUAUUGUUGUUGUCUGAUCAUGAAUGGGAUGCUGAUUCUGUUUGACUUUUGUACAGGUACACUUAGUUGCUCAGUUCUCUUAAGAACUUGCAUUGCUUUGCUUAUAAGCAAUUGGCAUUGAGGUAGGCCUCCUAAUCUUCAUGUAGUCUGGAGACCCGGCUGUUACCGAGCCGGGCAAAUUGUCUGAAGUCCUCCUUAAGAGGCAAUGCUUGUGUAUGUUUAUAUUUGUCCUAAGCAGGGAAAGUCCUCAUUUGAGGCAAUUGGUGGAAGGUAGGGAUAAGCAAUCUAUCCCCCACUAUUCUGUGAGUCUUCUCUUUGCUCCCAUUACAUGGUUGUAGCAUCGAGAUCCAAGCCCAAGAUCUUGUGCAUUGUACAGUCGAGUCUAUGUCCUGAGCGUAGAAGGGUCCCCCCAUUCUGGACCCACGCUCCCUUGUCUGAUGCUCUCUCUGACUUGAGAUAGAAGCAAUGAGGCACACCCCUCAUCACCUUUCAUCUGGCUUCACCUUAGCCCCUCAAUGGCAAGGUUAAGAGCUAACCUGACCCCGAUACAGAGGCUUGUUUGUUGAGGUUGAUAUGACCCCUCGACUAAAGCCUAACCCUGAUGUUUGAG
rnacentral:lncRNA from 1 species